GUGGGGAAUCUUGCACAAUGGGCGAAAGCCUGAUGCAGCGACGCCGCGUGCGGGAUGAAGGCCUUCGGGUCGUAAACCGCUUUCAGCAGGGACGAGGCCGCAAGGUGACGGUACCUGCAGAAGAAGCCCCGGCUAACUACGUGCCAGCAGCCGCGGUAAUACGUAGGGGGCAAGCGUUAUCCGGAUUCAUUGGGCGUAAAGCGCGCGUAGGCGGCCUGUUAGGUCGGGAGUCAAAUCCGGGAGCUCAACUCCCGUCCGCUCCCGAUACCGGCAGGCUUGAGUCUGGUAGGGGAAGGCGGAAUUCCAAGUGUAGCGGUGGAAUGCGCAGAUAUUUGGAAGAACACCGGUGGCGAAGGCGGCCUUCUGGGCCAUGACUGACGCUGAGGCGCGAAAGCUAGGGGAGCGAACAGGA
rnacentral:rRNA from 1 species